rnacentral:lncRNA from 1 species
CCUUGGACACAUUUUUCCUGUAUCUGAUCAAGUAACCUUUCAUCAGAUUUCACUUCCAGGAAGGAAAGUUAUGAAGAUCCUCGUCACUGAGGCGGACAACGCACACAAUACCCAGAGUCUUCCGGUGGGUGCCCAGGAGGGGUACACAUGAUCCAUUUGGACGUGGAAGGAAUCCAUUAAAAGUAUUGCUUCUGGCUAAAAUAAAAGAGACAGGAAGCUUUGAUAACAGUUAAUAUUGAGGUUGACACAGGUACCUUCCCUGAGUGGAUCCCUGGGCCUGACAGUCGCACAGGAGUGGCUGACAGAAGAGGCUUGGUCCUCACCGAAGCCAAGCCCUCCAUCCUACUUUUGCUUUCAGCCUAUCUGGGUCUACUACAGUUUGUAAGUACUCAGUUAAAAUGCUUUAAUUUUAACCAAACUGACCUUCAUAGAAUGGACAAGCGACUUCAAAAAUUCCUGAAAAGAAACCAUGAAUUGUGUAUGAUGAACAAUACAAGCACACGCAGCAAGCAAGAUGGUGCAGCCCCACCCCAUGGCGCAAGCAAGGCAUGCUCUUCCUGCAACUCUUGAAGGAACAUUUACCAUUCAACAAAGACUAGGAAAGUGGCUUUCUCUUUUGAAAGACACAAUAACAAAGAGCAUUUUGAAAGUGGGUAUCCAGAUAUGUGUCUUCUUUAUGUCAUUUUGUGGCCAUCAAAAUGUAUUCCACCUAUUAAAAAUUUGUGGCCAGCCACAGUGGCUCACACCUGUAAUCCCAGCACUUUGGGAGGCCAAGGUAGGUGGAUCACGAGGAAAGGAGUUCGAAAUCAACCUGGCCAACAUGGUGAAAAUCCGUCUCUACUAAAAAUACAAAAAAGAAAAAAUAAGCUGGACGUGGUGGCAUGUGCCUGAAACCCCAGCUACUCAGGAGGCUGAGGCUGAAGAACUGCUUGAAUCUGGGAGGCGGAGGUUGCAGUGAGCCAAGAUUGUGCCUCUGCACUCCUGGCUGGGUGGCAGAGUGAGAUUCUGUCUCAAAAAAAAAAUUGUAAUAAUUAUGUACUUAAAAAUUGGGAACGGAAUUUCCCAAUUUUAAAAUCUUUUAAAUGAAGGGUUUCAAGCAGGCUUUGAACUUAUUUUUGGAAACAUAAAUAUACAAUAGUUUUUUGGGGUUUUUUUGUCUGUUUUUGAGAUGAAGUCUUGCUCUGUCACCCAGGCUGUAGUUCAGUGGCACAAUCUCGGCUCACUGCAACCACCACCUCCCAGGUUCAAGUGAUUCUCCUGCCUCAGCCUCCAGCUAGGAUUACAGGUGCACACCACCACACUCGGCUAAUUUUUGUAUUUUUAGUAAUGAUGGGGUUUCACUAUAUUGGCCAGGCUGGUCUCAAACUCCUGACCUCAAGUGAUCUGCCCACCUCGGCCUCCCAAAGUGCUGGGAUUACAGGCAUGCACCACUGCGCCUGGCCAAUAUGUAAUAGUUUUCAUUAUUUCCAAGAACAACUAAUUAUCAUCAGAGAAUGUGAAAAUUUAGCAGCUGAUUUAUACAAAAACUUUUGCUGAAAAAUGAGUGUUAUGAAUUAGUAAGUUUGAUCAAAAAAUAUUUCUUCAAUUUAUUCUUAUAUAGUUUUGGGAUAGAUCUUUUUAAGUUAUGGCUAGUGUGGCUGUCAGUCCCAGUCUGCAUGGGGCAGACCUGUUCAUAGCACUUUGAAAAGCCCCACAUCUGGGGAAACUCCUGAGUCCUAGGCAAAUGAGGAGGCUUGGUCACCCUAGCUUUGACAACCAUAAAAACCAAAUCUAAAAAAUAGACUGCACAUUUGGAAGGCUGACGCGGGAGGAUCACCUGAGGUCAGGAGUUCGAGACCAGCCUGGCCAACAUACUGAAACCCUGUCUCUACUAUAAAUACCAAAAAUUAGCCGGGCGUAGUGGCGGGCACCUGUAAUCCCAGCUACUCAGGAGGCUGAGACAGGAGAAUCGCUUGAACCCGGAAGGCGGAGGUUGCAGCGAGCUGAGAUCACGCCGUUGCACUCCAGCGUGGGCAACAAGAGCUAAACUCCAUCUCAAAAAAAAAAAAAAACAAAAAAAAAAGACUGCACAUAGUGGUAUCACAAAGCUCUAAACCAGGUUUUCAAAAAUGAGUCAUGUAUACUAAUAUUUUAAUGAAAGCAAACUAGUUUUUAACUGAUGAAAUAAAUACUAUUAAUUUCAUUUUCCUACCUUUUUUUAGUUCCUUUUUCAAGUCUAUGGUUUUAAGGUAUAAAAGAUAAUUUGUAUAGUAACAAAAUGUAUCAGUGUCUUAAUUGUCUUUCAUCCCCAAAACAUAGUCUGGUAUCUAGUCUAGGUCGACAAAUAUUUGAUGCAUGAAGGCAAGAAUGAAAGGUUCAAGAAGAGUGCUUUUCUGCCUGGUAGAUUUCACAUCCAAAGUUAUCAUGGAUAUCUUCGUGCAAUUAACAAAGUAGCAUUCUGCUAAAAUGUACUAUAAGCCAAUGCUUCUUAACAUGCAUUUGAAUCAUCUGGGAAUCUUACUAAAAUGCAGACCUUGAUUCAGUGGCUCUAGGGUAGAGCCUUAGAUUACAAAUUCCAACAAGCUCCCAGCAGAUGCUACUGCCAAAAGUAUACGGCCCUCACUGUGAGUGGCAAAGCCACCACCUUUUAGCAGGGCAUGCAGUGGGAGUGGAAACAGUCACGCAAUCAUAUCUACCCUGUUCUACUGCAAGUGAGACGAUGAACUCCUGUCUUGGGUCUAAUUUUCCAUGGUAGCACUUUACCCCAGUUCCACCCCUGUUCAUUCACUCAAUACACAGGAAAUUUACAUAUGUAAUUCAAAACAAAGAGACUCCCUUCUACUGCAAAACCUAAAACAGUAAAAAGAAACAGCAUUCGAGAGUUGAUUAUGUUCACACUACAGCUACUGAAGCAUUUUUAUAAUCACUGUGUCAUUCAAAAAUAAAAAGAAAUAUAUAAUAUGCUAUCUGUCGCUCAGUGAGUGUUUGGUUCACACUUCUGUAUUUGCUACUGAAAUUCUGCCUAGAAAGAAAAAAUAUUCCACACAAAAACAACAUUACCUCUCACUUUGGAUUUAAAUUGCCUAAGCUUCCAACAUCUGUACGUUCUUUAGGUGGAUCAAGGUUAUAGACAGGUAAACAUACACAUAUACACACGAAAGAUUAUAUUGUGUAUAUCAGAAUAAACAUAUAUAUCUAUAACAUACUGACCUAUGUUUAAACAAUUUUGCAAAUGGAAAAGUAUUUAGUAUCAUAUGGUAGAGCAGGGAAAAUGCUGAAUUUAGGGCUAGGUGACCUAAGGUCAAAUCUCAACCCACCACUAAAAGCUAUUUAACUUUGAA